AGAAUCAACGCUGGCGGCGUGCCUAACACAUGCAAGUCGAACGCGAAAGCCCCGCAAGGGGUCAGUAGAGUGGCAAACGGGUGAGUAACACGUGGGUGAUCUGCCUCAGAGUGGGGGAUAACGACCCGAAAGGGUCGCUAAUACCGCAUAACAUCCUGCGCUUGGAUGCGUGGAGAUCAAAGUUGGGGAUUCGCAAGAACCUGACACUUGGAGAGGAGCCCGCGGCCGAUUAGCUAGUUGGUGAGGUAACGGCUCACCAAGGCAACGAUCGGUA
rnacentral:rRNA from 1 species